rnacentral:rRNA from 1 species
AGUGAACGCUGGCGGCAGGCCUAACACAUGCAAGUCGAGCGGCAGCGCGGGGGCAACCCUGGCGGCGAGCGGCGGACGGGUGAGGAAUUCGUCGGAAUCUGCCUUUUUGUGGGGAUAACGUAGGGAAACUUACGCUAAUACCGCAUACGUCCUACGGGAGAAAGUGGGGGACCGCAAGGCCUCACGCAGAAAGAUGAGCCGACGAUCGAUUAGCUAGUUGGUGGGGUAAAGGCCCACCAAGGCGACGAUCGGUAGCUGGUCUGAGAGGAUGAUCAGCCACACUGGGACUGAGACACGGCCCAGACUCCUACGGGAGGCAGCAGUGGGGAAUAUUGGACAAUGGGCGCAAGCCUGAUCCAGCCAUGCCGCGUGUGUGAAGAAGGCCUUCGGGUUGUAAAGCACUUUUGUCCGGAAAGAAAUCCCUGGAGCUAAUACCUUCGGGGGAUGACGGUACCGGAAGAAUAAGCACCGGCUAACUUCGUG